rnacentral:lncRNA from 1 species
UAUUGCUUAUAUAUUUCUGAAAAAUUAUAAACUUUCUUCUUUACCCAUCUUAAAAAGCUAAUAUAAAAAAAAUACACUUUAACAUUUCAAGUUCUUUUAAAUAUAUACCUAAAGUUAAUUCUAUUAAUGAACUAUUAGCAACCGUCACUAUUUUUGUGAAAUUACUAUUUUACCCUUUCAAAUAUACUCUUCUACUGUCACCAACUUUUUUUUUAUUUAUUCUUAAAUUAGGGGUGAAAGAAGUAUUUUAACUUUUUGCCCUUUCAAAUAUUCCUUUCCGCUAUCACAAACUUUUCUUAUUUGCCGUUUAUGUUUGGGGCAAAAGAGGUAGUCUCACUCUUUUUUAAUUCUGGUAGAAAUUUAACUUAGGUUUAACGCAAGAUGACCUAACGGGUACUAACAGAAGGGCUAUUUUUGAUUAGCGGAGAAAUGCACGAGUGGUAUAUUUGAAACAAAGAAAAAAGUAAAGGUAUAUAAGAUAUUUUAGAAGUUUUGAGGGGUAUAUAGGUAAUUAU